rnacentral:rRNA from 1 species
UACGUAUGGUGCAAGCGUUAUCCGGAUUUACUGGGUGUAAAGGGAGCGCAGGCGGCACGGCAAGCCUGAUGUGAAAGCCCGCGGCCCAACCGCGGGACUGCACUGGGAACUACCGGGCUGGAGUGCCGGAGAGGUAGGCGGAAUUCCUAGUGUAGCGGUGAAAUGCGUAGAUAUUAGGAGGAACACCAGUGGCGAAGGCGGCCUACUGGACGGUGACUGACGCUGAGGCUCGAAAGCGUGGGGAGCAAACAGG